GGGGAAUUUGGACAAUGGGCGCAAGCCUGAUCCAGCAAUGCCGCGUGCAGGAUGAAGGCCUUCGGGUUGUAAACUGCUUUUGUACGGAACGAAACGGUUCUUUCUAAUAAAGAGAGCUAAUGACGGUACCGUAAGAAUAAGCACCGGCUAACUACGUG
rnacentral:rRNA from 1 species